AUCUUUUGAAGAAGAAGAAGCUUAGCUUUGUGAAGGAAGGAGCAGCAUGAGCUCUCAACCACCAGACUCCAAUAAUAUAAGAGAUGGUACUCCAAUCCCUAACGGUCAAGAUGUCAGGUCCAAUCAGGGAAAUCAGGGAAACCCUACAGCACCUGGCACUCAGACGCAGGGCUCCAAUAUAAGAGAUGGCACUCCAAUCCCUAACGGUCAAGAUGUCAGGUCCACCCCUGGUUGAACACCAUGACUCUCCUCAUUUCAUUUUCAGAUGAUCGUCAAGUGCCGGUCUUGAUAAAAGAAUUAGGGAAGCAAAAUAUUAUAGCGCAGUUCUAUCAUAAUUAUAGAGCUAGCAAGAAUAAGAAUACUAUGAAAAAUAUUAUUCAACUUUUUUUUUGGGGUUUUGUUUUUCGUCUAGACUUGAUUUGUUGUUCUUGUUGCUUCCCAUAAAUAAUAUACAAAGUCAAGUGUCUGAGUACGUAGUUUCACCUU